CCUACCUUAACUUCUGGGAUAGCCCGAAGAAAUUCGGAUUAAUACCGGAUAAUAUCAAGAUAUGACAUCACAGCUUGAUUAAAGGCGCGAGUUGGUUAAAGAUGGGCAUGCGUCCCAUUAGUUAGUUGGGGAGGUAACGGCUCACCAAGGCGAUGAUGGGUAGGGGCUCUGAGAGGAUUACCCCCCACAUUGGUACUGAGACAGGGACCAAACUCCUACGGGAGGCAGCAGUGAGGAAUAUUGGGCAAUGGACGGAAGUCUGACCCAGCCAUGCCGCGUGCAGGAAGACGGCCUUAUGGGUUGUAAACUGCUUUUAUGUAGGGAAAAAGUUCAUAUUGCGAUAUGAUUUGAUGGUACUACAGGAAUAAGAAUCGGCUAACUCCGUGCCAGCAGCCGCGGUAAUACGGAGGAUUCGAGCGUUAUCCGGAUUUAUUGGGUUUAAAGGGUGCGCAGGCGGACUAUUAAGUCAGUGGUGAAAUUUUCCGGCUCAACCGGGACAGUGCCAUUGAUACUGAUAGACUAGAGUAUAAUUGACGUAUGUGGAAUGUAGCAUGUAGCGGUGAAAUGCAUAGAGAUGCUACAGAACACCGAUAGCGAAGGCAGCAUACGAAGCUAUAACUGACGCUCAUGCACGAAAGCGUGGGGAUCAAACAGGAUUAGAUACCCUGGUAGUCCACGCUGUAAACGAUGAUAACU
rnacentral:rRNA from 1 species